UUUUCAGAUAGAAUAAUCUUUACUAGUUUAUUAGAGGGCAGAUAGAAUAUGAUUAUUUGAGUGCACAUGAUUCAUGAUUAAUGUCUCUGCUUGAUUAGGGUUUGUAGCACCCCAAUCGCUCCUAUCUGAU